CCAGCUCUAAUAGCAUAUAUUAAAGUUGUUGCAGUUAAAAAGCUCGUAGUCGAAUUUCGGGCUCGUGUGGGCUAUCGGCUUAUGUCGGAUGGCAUGCGCGGGCCUUUCUGCUUGGGAGUCCCAGGUUGGUUAACCCCUUCUUGGUGAGUCACAGGCCGUUUACUUUGAAAAAAUUAGAGUGUUCAAAGCAGGCUGUUGCUUGAAUAUAUUAGCAUGGAAUAAUGGAAUAGGACUUUGGUGCUAUUUCGUUGGUUAUGGGACCGAGGUAAUGAUUAAUAGGGACAGUUGGGGCCGUUCAUAUUUCGUUGUCAGAGGUGAAAUUCUUGGAUUUACGAACGAUGAACUUAUGCGAAAGCAUUCGGCAAGGAUGUUUUCA
rnacentral:rRNA from 1 species